GAGUUUGAUCCUGGCUCAGAUUGAACGCUGGCGGCAGGCCUAACACAUGCAAGUCGAGCGGAUGACGGGAGCUUGCUCCUUGAUUCAGCGGCGGACGGGUGAGUAAUGCCUAGGAAUCUGCCUGCGUGUGUGAAGAAGGUCUUCGGAUUGUAAAGCUCUUUCGCGAGGGAAGAAAUUGCACCGGACAAUACCUGGUGUAGAUGACGGUACCUUGAUAAGAAGCACCGGCUAACUACGUGCCAGCAGCAGCCGCAGU
rnacentral:rRNA from 1 species